CUUGAAUCUACACCCCCUAACCUUCUAAAUCAUCGACCCAUAACCCAUAACCCUUCUAAAGAUGCAAUGUGAUUUAUUCCCAUUGAUUUGCAUGUCAAAGUAAAUAAAUUCAACCAAGCGCGGGUAAAUGGCAGGAGUAACUAUGAUUCUCUUAAAAUAGUCAGAUGCCUUGCCAUUUUAUUAGUGACGCACAUGAAUGGAUCAUUAACUAGAUUCCCCAAUGUCCCUAGCUACUAUAUUCUAGAGAAACCACAUCCAAGGGAAUGGGCUUGGCAGAAUUAGCAGGGAAAGAAGACCUUGUUGAGCUUGACUCUAGUCCUAACCCAUUCGUAGUUUGGGA
rnacentral:ncRNA from 1 species